GACAAAAAGUAAUCUGUCUCAAUUGUAAUAGUUGAACUUAACUUUUAAGUGAAAAGGCUUAAAUACUUUAAGGGGACGAUAAGACCCUAUAAAACUUGACAAUAAAUUAGUUAAAUUAUAAAUUGUUAGUAUAACUUGAUUUUAGUUAAUGUUUGUUGCGUUGGGGCGACGGGAAUAUAAUUAGUAACUGUUCUUAAAUACUUAUUAACAAGUAUAAUUGAAAAAUAAUUGAUCCUUUAUUAAAGAUUAAAAGAUUAAGUUACUUUAGGGA
rnacentral:rRNA from 1 species